rnacentral:rRNA from 1 species
UACGACUACAUAUCAGGCAUAUCAAUAAGCGGAGGAAAAGAAACUAACAAGGAUUCCCUUAGUAACGGCGAGUGAAGCGGGAAGAGCUCAAAUUUGAAAUCUUCAAGGUUUUACCUUGACGAAUUGUAGUUUAAAGAAGUGUUUUCUGUUGAAGUUUUGGUAAAAGUUCUUUGGAAUAGGACAUCAUAGAGGGUGAGAAUCCCGUAUUUGACCAUUAUUUUCAGCUGUGUGAUACACUUUCAAAGAGUCGGAUUGUUUGGGAAUGCAGUCCAAAAUGGGUGGUAAAUUUCAUCUAAAGCUAAAUAUUGGCGAGAGACCGAUAGCGAACAGGUACCGUGAGGGAAAGAUGAAAAGAACUUUGAAAAGAGAGUUAAACAGUACGUGAAAUUGUCAAAAGGGAAGCGUUUGACACCAGUGUUGUUUUCUCGAAAAUCAAUUAAAAAUAGCCUGGAUUUUGUGUUGUAUUGACCUUAACAGCUUGCUUCACUCUUUUCCAGCUUUUUUUAAUGCACUUUUCGUUUAACAAGUCAACAUCAGUUUCUUUUGUUGUAAAAGGGUCAUUGGAAGGUGGCUUUCUCUUCGGAGAAAGUGUUUAUAGCCUUUGAUCUCUGCAAUCGGAGAGACUGAGGUCUGCAGCGUAGAUCCUUCGGGGUUAGAUACAUUUGUGCUAAGCUACUAGCUUUUCAUAGACAACUUGUUGACUAUGAUUAGUCAUUGUAGCUUACCUCGCUUAUGCUAUUUUACCUACGCUUAGGAUGUUGAGCGCAUGUCUCUCUCU